ACCUAACAGCUAGCCCGCCCUUAUAAAAUCAUCAAUCCCCUAUCAAUACCCCCAAAGAUACUCUAAACACAAAACAAAACAUUUUUCCCCCCUAGUACGGGCGACGGAAAGGGAACUAGGAGCAAUAGAAAAAGUACCGCAAGGGAAAGCUGAAAGAGAAAUGAAACAACCCAGUAAAGCCCAAAAAAGCAGAGACACAACCUCGUAC
rnacentral:rRNA from 1 species